GAACUAAGAUACUCAAGAAAAAGCUUCUAACUUUAUUCUUUAGCGGUGUAAAUCCGUUUUUAGUUCU
rnacentral:tRNA from 1 species